rnacentral:rRNA from 1 species
AUUGAACGCUGGCGGCAUGCCUUACACAUGCAAGUCGAGCGCGAAAGGGGGGCAACCCCCGAGUAGAGCGGCGGACGGGUGAGUAACACAUCGGAACGUACCCAGUAGUGGGGGACAACCUCGAGAAAUCGAGGCUAAUACCGCAUACGACCCACGGGUGAAAGCGGGGGACCGCAAGGCCUCGCGCUAUUAGAGCGGCCGAUGUCCAAUUAGCUAGUUGGCGGGGUAAGAGCCCACCAAGGCGACGAUCGGUAGCUGGUCUGAGAGGACGACCAGCCACACUGGGACUGAGACACGGCCCAGACUCCUACGGGAGGCAGCAGUGGGGAAUUUUGGACAAUGGGGGCAACCCUGAUCCAGCCAUGCCGCGUGCGGGAAGAAGGCCUUCGGGUUGUAAACCGCUUUCGGCCGGAACGAAAUCGCCCGGGUGAACAUCCCGGGUGGAUGACGGUACCGGAAGAAGAAGCACCGGCUAACUACGUGCCAGCAGCCGCCGUAAAAC